UGGGGAAUAUUGCACAAUGGAGGGAACUCUGAUGCAGCGACGCCGCGUGAACGAAGAAGGCUUUCGAGUCGUAAAGUUCUUUUAUAUGGGAAGAUAAUGACGGUACCAUAAGAAAAAGCCCCGGCUAACUACGUGCCAGCAGCCGCGGUAAUACGUAGGGGGCUAGCGUUGUCCGGAAUCACUGGGCGUAAAGGGUUCGCAGGCGGAAAUGCAAGUCAGGUGUAAAAGGCAGUAGCUUAACUACUGUAAGCAUCUGAAACUGCAUAUCUUGAGAAGAGUAGAGGUAAGUGGAAUUUUUAGUGUAGCGGUGAAAUGCGUAGAUAUUAAAAAGAAUACCGGUGGCGAAGGCGACUUACUGGGCUCAUUCUGACGCUGAGGAACGAAAGCGUGGGUAGCAAACAGG
rnacentral:rRNA from 2 species